AUAUAAUUAAAGUAAAAAUAGGAGAGCCAAACUCUGUUAGAAAAGACCUAUAAUAAGUAUGUUUAAAUAGAGUUGCACUAAUUUAUCGUUUUCUUUGAAACUAAUAGCUUUCCUGAUGACAUGUUAACAUGGUGAUUGUGGAAUGGUUGUAGAAAUGUUGAUGGUUUAGUUGAUAAUAGUGGGCUUGAAUGAUAUCCAAAUUGUUGGUAAGUUGGUGGUCAUUGCCAUGAUGGUGAUUGUGGCAAUGUUAUGGUGGUGAUGUUUGAAGUGUUGGAUAUUGCGUUAAUCAAGUUAAGUGAGAGUAAUAAUGGUGAGCUUAUUGGUCACAGCAGCAG
rnacentral:misc_RNA from 1 species